AGGUCCGCGCCCUCCUCCCGCUGUCCAUCUACACGCUGCAGCAGGAGCAGCAGCAGGGCGCCGCACGAGAACCUCCCCCCGCCUCCGGCGAAGCUCCGGGCGGCUAUGAGGAAGCGCUGCGGCUAGGUCCUUACUGCAGAAGGACAUUGCCGAGGCCGACGAUGGCGCUGGCGCUCUGAGGCUGCGAAUGGAGAGCGAGAAUCCCGAGAUGACGAGUGCAGUGGUGGCUGAGCAGGUGGGUGAGUAUGUAGAUAUUGAGUAUGAGACCGCUGACUAACCAAUCAGUGGAGGCCGAGAAUGGUGCUGAGGAUACGAGUGUCUCUGGUGUUCUUCUUCAUGCUCAGUGAUACUGUCGCAGCGGCUGUUUCUUCUUUUCCUUUUUGAGAAACACCGUUUAUUCUUCAUCCAGCGGUUCAGGUUCAGGGUCAGGGAGCUCAGGGGACAGCGCCUCAGAAGUUGGCAAUGCUCGUUCUCUGGUGUAGAGGAGGUUAGUUCUAACAGUAGGAUUUUAGUAGGUGGAGGAUGCG